rnacentral:lncRNA from 1 species
AAGACUUUAGGAAAAUGAACCAAUUUCUCAUUCCUGCAGUACACCACUAUCUCUUUACUUGUAUUUAUUGACCACCAAUAGGGUGAAGGCAUCAUGUGAUGGGGCUGGGGAUACAAUAGUGAACCAAACAAAAACUCCUGAGAUGACACAGAAUGAAUGAAUGAAUAUAUACAGCCUAUCAGAUCAUAACAAAUGUCAUGGAAAAAUCUAGGGUGUGGAAGUGGGGUAGGGAGCAGGGGAAAAACACCAUUGGACCUAUCUGUUUCAAGAUUACUGUCAGGGCUAUAGGAGAGUGGGCUGGCAGGGAGCACCAGUUGGAGUAGGUUAGGAGGCUGGGUGAUUAUCUGGUGAGAGGGUCUGGGGGCAGGGAGAGGAGGAAAGUGGGUGUGCUUCAGAUAUAUGUGAGGGCAGAGCAGACAGGACCUGAUGAUGGACUGAAUGUACAGCAAGUGAGACAGAGGGAAGGGGCAAACGUGACUCCCCAGAUUUCUGAAUCAUAUUGUCAAUUACCAAAAUGAGUAAAAUUUGGGGGCGGAGGGGACAAGUUUGGGAGUUCCCUAUGGAUUUGCCCCAGGAGAUACACCACAAAAUCUAAGCAUCAUUCGGGUCUUUGGAUAAUGCUUCUGCUGUAGAAAGAGGGAUCAAUUAGUAUAUCUCUGUCAGCUGGCUUGUGGGAGCUGGGUCCUCAAAGCCACUCCUGUUUAUCUGUCCAGACAUCUGUCCCACCAGCCCAGGCCACGGAGCAAAAUGGGCAGGAAGAAAGUACAGGAGGAAGACACAAGAGAACAAACCACAAUGCCCAUGCAAGGCAAAGGAAAGUGGAAAAAAAACAAGCCCAAGAACAGAUGGAGGAAAAGAAUCAGCAACUAACUGGAAAAGGAAAGAAAACAGAGCAGCAGAACAUGAAAGAGCAAAGUGGACUUCAAUCUCUGCUAUUCUGAGGCUGCAAGGGAUCCCAUUAAGAAAAUCACGUUCAGAAAAACAGCAUCCAGAGAAACAAGAAGAAAUAUCCUUGCUUGUGGCCUUCUUUCCAGGUGUAGAAAUCUUCCUUAGAAACUGCCCCCAAAGGGACUUGCCUUUACAACUCAUAGCCUACAAUUGAGUCACACGCCACCGAGGAUGUAGGGACCCUUAGUCUCACCAGACCACCUUGAAAGGAUGAGAUUCCAUCUUCCUGAGGAACAACUCUGCAUGGGAGACCAGGAGGCAUGAAAACAAAAUCCACCCCUUCCUAGGAAGGAAGGACAAGGAAAUGCAACAGACUCUAUCUGGAGGUAUACAAUUCCCUUAGGGAUAUUUGUAAACAAAUACACUUAAUUUAAACGUGUAUUAAAUUAUCAAGUAAUUGAAAACCCAGUUUAUUUAUUUUUUUUAUUGGAGUUCAAUUUGGCAACAUAUAGCAUAUCACCCAGUGCUCAUCCUGUCAAGUGCCCCCCUCAGUGUCCGUCACCCAGGAAGACCCAGUUUAAUAGUAAUAGGGGAGGAAUUCAUGCUCGCAUAAAAAAUUUGCUAACUACAAUACUUUUCUGGUUACAAAUGGAUUUCUGACAUUUCAGAGAAAUGAUUUUCUUAAGACAUGCAGCAGCCCAAACUGGACUCACAGUAUGUUCUAGGCAGAAAAGCAUAAUAAGGGAGACAGCAGAAAGUGGGGAUCCUGCCACUCUAAAAAGAACUAGAAGACCUUGGGAUGACCAGAUUCAGCUCUCCCUAUGAAGGGCUUUGAAAGAUAUAGGAUGUGGGAAACAGCUGCAUUUAUACUGCUGUCGUAUAGAGAUCUAUAGAGAAAUUGAAUGAACACAUUGCGCAGGAUAUAAAUCUGUAAGAUUUCAGGGAUAUACAGGGUUUGUAACAUUCAAAGUAGAAAAUCUCAGAUACUCCUUGGAUUUAGUAUCACUAAAAAGUGAGACAGGAAAGGUUAUUGAGUAAGUUACUAAACAAAUAUUUAUUUGAGUCUCACUAGCAUAAGACACCGUGGCAGAAAAAACUAUAAAUCAGACACAGAUGCGGGUCUCAAGAAUUCAGUAGGAGAAACAAAACACGUCCCUAAAGGUAUUCCCUUUUUGCUUACAGAGUGCCUUUUACAAAACUCUAGGGCAGCAUUUCUCCUUUUCAUGUCAAUUAUUGACUUAUUUGUCCUUCUCCCUCAUCUGCUGUGAGCAUCUUGCAUGGAUAUCGUACUCUUGUCUGUAUGCCCGGCAUCUAGGUUUCAAAGCCACCACCCAUCUGUCUUUCAGACACUGCCAAUUUAUCAGAUAUGUAUUUUAUAUUGAUGUUGUAACAAUUCGGUAAAUGAAAUGGAUAAUGAUGAAGACAAAUUAAAUGUCCUAUCUAAAUGAAAAAGCAAGACUGGAAGUAACAGAAAGGUGUGAGCAAGUCCAAAGAAUACCGGUGGCUCACUGCUAGCAAAACCUCCUUUCCGGGACUCCUGAGUAAUCCAGAGGCCUGUAUAGGCACAGGUGCCAUGGCAGCUUUGCAAUGUAGUCAGGCUUGUGUGGCAAAGCAGCUAAGUUAAGUGCUAAUUUUAGUUCAUGGCUUUCAAAGUUUAGGAGCCCUUAAAGACUCACUCAGGGUGUAGACCUUAGGCAUAGGUUAAAAACCAACAUUCUGUGCAGCUGUAGAGAUUUUACAUGGCAUAGCUGAAAAAAAGACUUGGAUUUAUUAUUAUUAUUAUUAGCUGAUAAGCACUCUCCUAGCCUAUGGCUGUUGAUCCC